rnacentral:sRNA from 1 species
UAAAAUUAAUUGCAAUUUUUUUUUAUGAAAUUCUUCUUUUUUUUUUACAAUUUUUAAUUUCAAUUUCUUUAUGACAAUGCGUCUUAUAGCAAGCUAAUUGAUACACAAUACAGACAAAAAUACAGCCAAGAAUGGACAGUCUUUCCUUACAAAUCUUGUCAUUUACGUACACAAAAAUCCAAUGUUAACAGAAUUUGUAUUUAGAGUAUGACAUACAGGUUACUGAAAUAUUGUAUUAAUGACUGUUUUAUAAAACUUCACACAGAAAUGAUAUCUCUCUAUAUUUUUAUAGUAAUAACAAUUUAAAUCAGCAAAUGGCACAAUGUAUACGUAGUUUAAACCAUUCCGAUUGUAAGGGCUUUAUAAAUGAAAUUUCCUAUACAAAGUAAAUGUGACCUACACUUUGGCAUGUUUUGUAAAUGUUGAUUGGAUAUUUUAACUUUAUUUAUGAAGAAAUUGAAAUAAAAAAAAGGUUUC